rnacentral:ncRNA from 1 species
AUGUUCCAAUGUAAAAAUUGGCUAAGAGGGAAACAGGUGAGAAUCCUGUACGGUCCCGCCACUGUGAGCAGGGAGCUGAUUCUUAUGACUAUUUCACCCACUGGGAAACCGGGAAGGGAAGAUGAGGCAAUGAUCUGUAAGCCAGGAGACCUGCAUAGAGU